GGCAGGCAGGGGGAGGCGGGGGGGGUAGUAGGAAGGGGAGGUGCGUUGUACGGGGGGACUGGGCGUGACGGGCGCGCAGGAGGCCAGGCGUGUGGGCGGGGAAAGCUGCGGGCUGAACUGGGAGAGGUCCGGGCAAGCGGGUUGGCGUGAGGGUGGGGGAGGGGCAGGGAACGCCCGGGGGAGCGGUGGAAUGCGUAGGGAUCGGGAAGAACACCAAUGGAGAAGGCAGUGCCCUGGCCGACGGCUGACGCUCAGGCGCGAAAGCGUGGGGAGCAAACAGGAUUAGAUACCCGAGUAGUC
rnacentral:rRNA from 1 species